UUUCCGGUUGAUCCCGCCGGACCCGACUGCUAUCAGAGUGGGAUUAAGCCAUGCGAGUCAACGUAGCAAUACGUGGCAUACGGCACAGUAACACGUAGUCAACAUGCCCAGGGGACGUGGAUAGCCUCGGGAAACUGAGGCUAAACCGCGAUAGGCCAAGAUUUCUGGAAUGGAUCAUGGCUUAAAUCUAUAUGGCCCCUGGAUUGGACUGCGGCCGAUCAGGCUGUUGGUGAGGUAAUGGCCCACCAAACCUGUAACCGGUACGGGCUUUGAGAGAAGGAGCCCGGAGAUGGGCACUGAGACAAGGGCCCAGGCCCUAUGGGGCGCAGCAGGCGCGAAAAUUCUGCAAUAGGCGAAAGCUUGACAGAGUUACUCUGAGUGAUGCCCGUUAAGGGCAUCUUUUGGCACCUCUAAAAAUGGUGCAGAAUAAGGGGUGGGCAAGUCUGGUGUCAGCCGCCGCGGUAAUACCAGCACCCCGAGUGGUCGGGACGAUUAUUGGGCCUAAAGCAUCCGUAGCUUGUCCUGCAAGUCCUCCGUUAAAUCCACCUGCUCAACAGAUGGGCUGCGGGGGAUACUACAGGGCUAGGAGGCGGGAGAGGCAAACGGUACUCAGUGGGUAGGGGUAAAAUCCGUUGAUCCACUGAAGACCACCAGUGGCGAAGGCGGCUUGCCAGAACGCGCUCGACGGUGAGGGAUGAAAGCUGGGGGAGCAAACCGGAUUAGAUACCCGGGUAGUCCCAGCUGUAAACGAUGCAGACUCGGUGAUGAAUAGGCUUCGUGCAUAUUCAGUGCCGCAGGGAAGCCGUUAAGUCUGCCGCCUGGGGAGUACGGUCGCAAGACUGAAACUUAAAGGAAUUGGCGGGGGAGCACCACAAGGGGUGAAGCCUGCGGUUCAAUUGGAUUCAACGCCGGA
rnacentral:rRNA from 1 species